CCUACGGGAGGCUGCAGUGAGGAAUAUUGGUCAAUGGGCGCGAGCCUGAACCAGCCAAGUCGCGUGAGGGAGUACUGCCCUCUGGGUUGUAAACCUCUUUUGUCGGGGAGAAAAAGCCGGACGUGUCCGGCUGUGAGAGUACCCGAAGAAAAAGCAUCGGCUCACUCCGUGCCAGCAGCCGCGGUAAUACGGAGGCGGAGAGCGUUAUCCGGAUUUCGUGGGUUUAAAGGGUGCGCAGGCGGAUUUUUAAGUCAGCGGUAAGAUCGUGGGGUUCAACCCCAUCCAGCCGUUGAAACUGGAGAUCUAGAGUGUGCGAGAGGUAUGCGGAAUGCGUGGUGUAGCGGUGAAAUGCAUAGAUAUCAGGCAGAACCCCGAUUGCGAAGGCAGCAUACUGGUGCACAACUGACGCUCAGGCACGAAAGCGUGGGUAUCGAACAGGAUUAGAUACCCGGGUAGUC
rnacentral:rRNA from 1 species